AUUGAACGCUGGCGGCAUGCCUAACACAUGCAAGUCGAACGGCAACAGGGAGUGGCAGACGGGUGAGUAACGCGUGGGAACGUGCCCUUCGGUUCGGAAUAACUCAGGGAAACUUGAGCUAAUACCGAAUACGUGCGAGAGCAGAAAGAUUUAUCGCGGAAGGAUCGGCCCGCGUCCGAUUAGCUAGUUGGUGAGGUAAUGGCUCACCAAGGCGACGAUCGGUAGCUGGUCUGAGAGGAUGAUCAGCCACACUGGGACUGAGACACGGGCCAGACUCCUACGGGAGGCAGCAGUGGGGAAUAUUGGACAAUGGGCGCAAGCCUGAUCCAGCCAUGCCGCGUGAGUGAUGAAGGCCCUAGGGUUGUAAAGCUCUUUCGCCAGGGACGAUAAUGACGGUACCUGGAUAAGAAGCCCCGGCUAACUUCGUGCCAGCCGCCGCCGUAA
rnacentral:rRNA from 1 species